rnacentral:rRNA from 1 species
GAUGAACGCUGGCGGCGUGCCUAAUACAUGCAAGUCGAGCGAACGGACGAGAAGCUUGCUUCUCUGAUGUUAGCGGCGGACGGGUGAGUAACACGUGGAUAACCUACCUAUAAGACUGGGAUAACUUCGGGAAACCGGAGCUAAUACCGGAUAAUAUUUUGAACCGCAUGGUUCAAAAGUGAAAGACGGUCUUGCUGUCACUUAUAGAUGGAUCCGCGCUGCAUUAGCUAGUUGGUAAGGUAACGGCUUACCAAGGCAACGAUGCAUAGCCGACCUGAGAGGGUGAUCGGCCACACUGGAACUGAGACACGGUCCAGACUCCUACGGGAGGCAGCAGUAGGGAAUCUUCCGCAAUGGGCGAAAGCCUGACGGAGCAACGCCGCGUGAGUGAUGAAGGUCUUCGGAUCGUAAAACUCUGUUAUUAGGGAAGAACAUAUGUGUAAGUAACUGUGCACAUCUUGACGGUACCUAAUCAGAAAGCCACGGCUAACUACGUGCCAGCAGCCGCGGUAAUACGUAGGUGGCAAGCGUUAUCCGGAAUUACUGGGCGUAAAGCGCGCGUAGGCGGUUUUUUAAGUCUGAUGUGAAAGCCCACGGCUCAACCGUGGAGGGUCAUUGGAAACUGGAAAACUUGAGUGCAGAAGAGGAAAGUGGAAUUCCAUGUGUAGCGGUGAAAUGCGCAGAGAUAUGGAGGAACACCAGUGGCGAAGGCGACUUUCUGGUCUGUAACUGACGCUGAUGUGCGAAAGCGUGGGGAUCAAACAGGAUUAGAUACCCUGGUAGUCCACGCCGUAAACGAUGAGUGCUAAGUGUUAGGGGGUUUCCGCCCCUUAGUGCUGCAGCUAACGCAUUAAGCACUCCGCCUGGGGAGUACGACCGCAAGGUUGAAACUCAAAGGAAUUGACGGGGACCCGCACAAGCGGUGGAGCAUGUGGUUUAAUUCGAAGCAACGCGAAGAACCUUACCAAAUCUUGACAUCCUUUGACAACUCUAGAGAUAGAGCCUUCCCCUUCGGGGGACAAAGUGACAGGUGGUGCAUGGUUGUCGUCAGCUCGUGUCGUGAGAUGUUGGGUUAAGUCCCGCAACGAGCGCAACCCUUAAGCUUAGUUGCCAUCAUUAAGUUGGGCACUCUAAGUUGACUGCCGGUGACAAACCGGAGGAAGGUGGGGAUGACGUCAAAUCAUCAUGCCCCUUAUGAUUUGGGCUACACACGUGCUACAAUGGACAAUACAAAGGGCAGCGAAACCGCGAGGUCAAGCAAAUCCCAUAAAGUUGUUCUCAGUUCGGAUUGUAGUCUGCAACUCGACUACAUGAAGCUGGAAUCGCUAGUAAUCGUAGAUCAGCAUGCUACGGUGAAUACGUUCCCGGGUCU